GCCUUGCUCAGUGGUAAUUACCAUGAGGAUUUAGGACCAGUGGCGUCAUUCUGGCAUCAGCAAAUGUGAAAAUCCGCCAUGUUUUUGGCUUCACUUGCUUGACUGAAGAGAGAUAGGAGCACUUCCUCCAGAUAUAUUAUAGCUCAGUGGGUGCACCAUGAACGUUUGGCUUUCUAGUCCGCCAUCUUUGAAUUUUCUUAAUGUUUUUAAACAUACUGCUGACCGGUAAUUGUGCUGGCUAUGACAACGAUAGGCCGUCUCAACAUUUGAUUUUGAAAUUGAUUUUAGUUUUGCUAUGAGAACAAUAGGCCACACAUUUACAUACCGCUUUUUGUCUUAAAAUGAAAAUCGUAUGUUAAGAAUUUUUUAUU